CUGUGUGUUGUUGGGUAGGGGAGCGUUCUGUAAGCCUGUGAAGGUGUGUCGUGAGGCAUGCUGGAGGUAUCAGAAGUGCGAAUGCUGACAUAAGUAACGAUAAAGCGGGUGAAAAGCCCGCUCGCCGGAAGACCAAGGGUUCCUGUCCAACGUUAAUCGGGGCAGGGUGAGUCGACCCCUAAGGCGAGGCCGAAAGGCGUAGUCGAUGGGAAACGGGUUAAUAUUCCCGUACUUGGUGUUACUGCGAAGGGGGGACGGAGAAGGCUAUGUUGGCCGGGCGACGGUUGUCCCGGUUUAAGCGUGUAGGCUGGUUUUCCAGGCAAAUCCGGAAAAUCAAGGCUGAGGCGUGAUGACGAGGCACUACGGUGCUGAAGCAACAAAUGCCCUGCUUCCAGGAAAAGCCUCUAAGCAUCAGGUAACAUCAAAUCGUACCCCAAACCGACACAGGUGGUCAGGUAGAGAAUACCAAGGCGCUUGAGAGAACUCGGGUGAAGGAACUAGGCAAAAUGGUGCCGUAACUUCGGGAGAAGGCACGCUGACACGUAGGUGAAGUGAUUUACUCAUGGAGCUGAAGUCAGUCGAAGAUACCAGCUGGCUGCAACUGUUUAUUAAAAACACAGCACUGUGCAAACACGAAAGUGGACGUAUACGGUGUGACGCCUGCCCGGUGCCGGAAGGUUAAUUGAUGGGGUCAGCGCAAGCGAAGCUCCUGAUCGAAGCCCCGGUAAACGGCGGCCGUAACUAUAACGGUCCUAAGGUAGCGAAAUUCCUUGUCGGGUAAGUUCCGACCUGCACGAAUGGCGUAAUGAUGGCCAGGCUGUCUCCACCCGAGACUCAGUGAAAUUGAACUCGCUGUGAAGAUGCAGUGUACCCGCGGCAAGACGGAAAGACCCCGUGAACCUUUACUAUAGCUUGACACUGAACAUUGAGCCUUGAUGUGUAGGAUAGGUGGGAGGCUUUGAAGUGUGGACGCCAGUCUGCAUGGAGCCGACCUUGAAAUACCACCCUUUAAUGUUUGAUGUUCUAACGUGGACCCGUUACCCGGGUUGCGGACAGUGUCUGGUGGGUAGUUUGACUGGGGCGGUCUCCUCCUAAAGAGUAACGGAGGAGCACGAAGGUUGGCUAAUCCUGGUCGGACAUCAGGAGGUUAGUGCAAUGGCAUAAGCCAGCUUGACUGCGAGCGUGACGGCGCGAGCAGGUGCGAAAGCAGGUCAUAGUGAUCCGGUGGUUCUGAAUGGAAGGGCCAUCGCUCAACGGAUAAAAGGUACUCCGGGGAUAACAGGCUGAUACCGCCCAAGAGUUCAUAUCGACGGCGGUGUUUGGCACCUCGAUGUCGGCUCAUCACAUCCUGGGGCUGAAGUAGGUCCCAAGGGUAUGGCUGUUCGCCAUUUAAAGUGGUACGCGAGCUGGGUUUAGAACGUCGUGAGACAGUUCGGUCCCUAUCUGCCGUGGGCGCUGGAGAACUGAGGGGGGCUGCUCCUAGUACGAGAGGACCGGAGUGGACGCAUCACUGGUGUUCGGGUUGUCAUGCCAAUGGCACUGCCCGGUAGCUAAAUGCGGAAGAGAUAAGUGCUGAAAGCAUCUAAGCACGAAACUUGCCCCGAG
rnacentral:rRNA from 2 species